GAUCCUCCUGCCCCAGCUUCCCCAGUAGCUGGGACUAUAGGAUCCAGCUGCCGAGAAGGAAGGAAGAGAAGAAAGGAAACUUCUGUUGCUACCACUCACAACAAGGUUGAAUCUGUGUGCAAUUAAAGGUUGGCGAGCGGCUGUUGCAGAUGAUGGAAUAUUGGUUGGAUGCCCAGACCAGGAGGAGAACUUCACACCCUGUCUUAUUCUUAUCACGCUAUCUUUGGAUGAGGGAGUCAAGGCUUGAUUUGGAGCUUUUGUAUUCAGCUUGUCACUUUGUUCGUUAUUUGUCUGGAGUCUUUUAUAGCUGAUAAAAGAAGGCAGAGUCCUGAAUGUGAGCUGCUUGAGGCAGGGCCCAUGUCCUGCUCAUCUUCAUGCCCACUGUUAAUACUUAGCCUACAGAGAGAAGGAAAUGACCACCACAUGUUACAUACCUACUAAGUCAGGCACUAUUCUUGGCAGGUUAUACACAUGAUCUCAUUUAACUAACAUAACAGUUGCGUGACAUAAAUUAUUCUCAAUUUACAGUUGAGAAAACUGAAUACAAG